rnacentral:rRNA from 1 species
UACGUAGGGGGCAAGCGUUGUCCGGAAUCAUUGGGCGUAAAGAGCGCGUAGGCGGCCAGAUAAGUCAGAUGUGAAAACUCGAGGCUCAACUUCGAGCUGUCGGUGGAAACUUUCUGGCUAGAGUCCGGAAGAGGAGAAUGGAAUUCCUGGUGUAGCGGUGAAAUGCGCAGAUAUCAGGAAGAACACCCGUGGCGAAGGCGGUGCUCUGGGACGGUACUGACGCUGAGACGCGAAAGCGUGGGGAGCGAACAGG